AGUGAACGCUGGCGGCGUGCUUAAGACAUGCAAGUCGAACGGCAGUCUUCGGACUGUAGUGGCGCACGGGUGAGUAACGCGUAACUGACCUACCCCAAAGUCGCGGAUAACGAUUCGAAAGAAUCGCUAAUACGUGAUGUGCUGUCAGAUUGUGUUCUGCCAGUAAAGAUUGAUUGCUUUGGGAUGGGGUUGCGUUCCAUCAGCUAGUUGGUGGGGUAAAGGCCCACCAAGGCGACGACGGAUAGCCGGCCUGAGGGGGUGGCCGGCCACAGGGGCACUGAGACACGGGUCCCACUCCUACGGGAGGCAGCAGUUAGGAAUCCUCCACAAUGGGCGAAAGCCUGAUGGAGCGACGCCGCGUGAGGGAUGAAGGUCUUCGGAUCGUAAACCUCUGAAUCAGGGACGAAAGACACUUCGGUGGGAUGACGGUACCUGAGUAAUAGCACCGGCUAACUCCGUGCCAGCCGCCGCCGUAAUAC
rnacentral:rRNA from 1 species